UAGAGUCUGAUGGAGCUUGAAGUGUCCACCCUGUCUAGACUCAAGCUUUUGCCUCAUUUGGCAAACCCUUCACGGCUGACCACAUAACACCGCCCUAAUGGAGAAUCUGAGGAGGGAAAAAGAAGAUGAAGUUGGUAGAGGGUCAGGUAAAGAAGAACAAGUCCCACCAGGAGGAGUAUCUUGUUUUGGUUUGGUUUGGUUUGGUUUUUUGACAUGACUUUCUGUGUAGGCCAGGCUGGCUUUGAACUUGAAAUCCUUCUGCCUUAGCAAGGGUUAUGGGCUCACAGGCCUUUACCACUCUGCCCAAUCAGGACAAAUUUCUAAAUCUGUUGCCAGAGAAUCUGUUUUUCCCACUGACCAGGCCUGGCACUGUCAAGCUGAGGUUACCUGACUGUGGGGAGGGGAACCAAAGGAAGACCCAGGGCAUGACUGGAACCUCACUCUCCCUGCCCAGCACAAUGCUUCCCUUGAGAAAUACCACACUGGAGAUGCUGGAGACGCUGGAGAUGAGGGUCUGUAAGCCAAGCCCACCCAGGAACGACCCCUUUUGUUUCCACAGCAGAGAAAGAAAAGCAUCUGCUGACUGGGAGAUCUAUGCUCACCCGCGCUAGGGGCAAAGUGGUAGGAGCGUUUGGAGGCAGUAGAAGGAGCCGAACUCUGUCUCCAACAACAGCUCCUGUUCCCUAGGACGGGCACGUACAGGGGAGAGUAUGCAAAAGUUAAGGUGCAUGGAUGGACGGUGGUGUGCGGGUGCCCUGG
rnacentral:lncRNA from 1 species